rnacentral:pre_miRNA from 1 species
CUACUACUCCCUCCGUUCGGAAUUACUAGUCGAAGAAAUGAAUGUAUAUAGAUGUAUUUUAGUUGUAGAUCUACUCAUUUUUGUGACAAGUAAUUUCGAACGGAGGGAGUAGUAG